UACGUAGGUGGCAAGCGUUGUCCGGAAUUAUUGGGCGUAAAGCGCGCGCAGGCGGUUCUUUAAGUCUGAUGUGAAAGCCCACGGCUCAACCGUGGAGGGUCAUCGGAAACUGGAGAACUUGAGUACAGAAGAGGAAAGCGGAAUUCCACGUGUAGCGGUGAAAUGCGUAGAGAUGUGGAGGAACACCAGUGGCGAAGGCGGCUUUCUGGUCUGUAACUGACGCUGAGGCGCGAAAGCGUGGGGAGCAAACAGG
rnacentral:rRNA from 1 species